rnacentral:rRNA from 1 species
CGUUUUCUGCCUAUUACUCUUGACCAAUAUUCCUCACUGCUAUCGCGGUAUAACGUAGAAGACUAGUGUUAUUCAUCUUUAAUAGGUUUAAAGGGUACCUAGACGGUAAAUCAAGCCUUAAACGGGACUAAUUUACUAGAGUUAUUUAUGAGGGGGCACUAAAGUACUGAUGGUGGAGAGAUGAAAUUCUUAGAUACCUUUUUUCGAAAGAAAAACAAUGGCACAGGUAUAGGCGAAAGCAUCCCCUUAUGUGAUAACUGACGUUGAGGGACGAAGGCUUUGAGUAGCGAACAGGAUUAGAUACCCUGAUAGUUGAAGCAGUAAAUGAUGAAUGUCAUAGAUUAGACGUUAGUUUAUUCUAUAAAUGAAAGUGUAAGCAUUCCACCUCAAGAGUAAUUUGGCAACAUUGGAACUGAAAUCAUUAGACCGUUUCUGAAACCAGUAGUGAAGUAUGUUGUUUAAUUUGAUAAUCCGCAAAAAACCUUACCACAAUUUGAAUAUUUAUAUUUUUUAUUUUCCAUAAACUUUUUUAUAAGAUAAAAAAGGGAGAAAAAAGAUGUUUUUACAAGCGUUGCACGGCUGUCUUCAGUUAAUGUCGUGAGAUUUUGGUUAGCUCCAUUAAAUUAACGUAAACCCUUGCUAUAUUUUUACAUAUAGUAGUUCUCCAUCAUAUUGGAUAAGAUAACAGGGACUAAGACAAGUCAUCAUGGCCUGAAUAUUGUGGGCUAUA